rnacentral:rRNA from 1 species
ACUCCUACGGGAGGCAGCAGUGGGAAUAUUGCACAAUGGGCGCAAGCCUGAUGCAGCCAUGCCGCGUGUGUGAAGAAGGCCUUCGGGUUGCAAAGCACUUUCAGUAAGGAGGAAAGGUUAGUAGUUAAUACCUGCUAGCUGUGACGUUACUUACAGAAGAAGCACCGGCUAACUCCGUGCCAGCAGCCGCGGUAAUACGGAGGGUGCGAGCGUUAAUCGGAAUUACUGGGCGUAAAGCGUACGCAGGCGGUUUGUUAAGCGAGAUGUGAAAG